UGACUCACGGUUGUCGAAGCCGGUCAAAAAUAACCUUUCUGGUUAUCAACAAUUUACAACUGUAGAUAGUGGUGAAAGGAUCGAAUCCACAGAGAAUUGAGAACUCACCUAUUUCUCUUUUUAUGACCAAGAAAAUAAACUGGAACAAUAAUAAACUAAAAAUGAGAUAAAAACUGAAAGUGGGAUCAAAUGAGAUAAACUGAAAAUUGGGAUAAAAAACUGUCAACAAAAUAACAGGGGGGGUUUUGAGAUUGAUUGUAGUAAACUCAUAAUGAGAAUAAUAAUGGAAAGCAAAUAAUAAAAUAAAGAGUAAUCAAUAAUGAGAAAGUUCUAGUUGAAGUAUUGGAUCCACUUUAGUUGUUGGGAUUGAUCACAGACACUUUGUUCUUUUGGGUUGAUUCAAUAGAUUAGUUAUGGAGAUGGAAGACGCUUGUCACCACCAUUAUCUCUCCUUAUGAUUAAACCAAUUAGGGAACGUCCUCUAAUUAAUUACUAAUUAACAAAUUGCCAAGGAACGUCCUUGGGCCUUAGGCAUCAAAACAAUUGUCAAUUGCAUUAAGAAAUAGAGAUAUCCAAUCCUAGCUACCCAAACGUAUGGAGAUAACGCUAGAUCAUACAAUUUCCUUGGUUUUUAUCCCAAGUGUUCUCAUGUAAGAAUAAUCCAAGCAAUUACGGACUUAAAUUAUUCAAACUAACAAAUAAUUAUUUUGCAAUAAAAAAUCAACGUAGAUCUCAAUAACAAAAUAAUAUGAAAAUUAAAUAUGAAAUUGCAUGAAUAUUGAAUUCCCAAAAAUUAAACAAUAUUUGAUCAAGUCUCACAACCCAUUAAUCAACUAAACCUUCAACCAAUAUUCAACUAGAUCAAAGAAAUUCAGCCACUCAUUGGCUGAAUUAAAAACA
rnacentral:lncRNA from 1 species